AUUCCUACGGGGGGCAGCAGUAGGGAAUAUUGCUCAAUGGGGGAAACCCUGAAGCAGCAACGCCGCGUGGAGGAUGAAGGUUUUCGGAUUGUAAACUCCUUUUGUUAGAGAGGAUAAUGACGGUAUCUACCGAAUAAGCACCGGCUAACUCCGAGCCAGCAGCCGCGGUAAUACGGAGGGUGCAAGCGUUACUCGGAAUCACUGGGCGUAAAGAGCGCGUAGGCGGGAUAGGAAGUCAGAUGUGAAAUCUUACGGCUUAGCCUUAGAACUGCAUUUCA
rnacentral:rRNA from 1 species